GAUGAACGCUGGCGGCGUGCUUAACACAUGCAAGUCGAGCGGUAGUUAAGAGGUGUUCGCACAUCUUAAUUACAGCGGCGGACGGGUGAGUAAAGUGCGGGUAACCUGCCUUAUAACGUGGAAUAAUCAUGAGAAAUUGUGACUAAUACCGCAAGUCAUCCUUUCAUCGCAUGGUGAGAGGAGAAAAGGAUAUAUUCGGUAUAAGAAGGACCCGCAUCUGAUUAGAUAGUUGGUGAGAUAAUAGCUCACCAAGGCAACGAUCAGUAGCCGACCUGAGAGGGUGAUCGGCCACAUUGGGAAUGAGACACGGCCCAAACUCCUACGGGAGGCAGCAGUGGGGAAUAUUGCACAAUGGGCGAAAGCCUGAUGCAGCAACGCCGCGUGAAGGAAGAAGGGUUUCGGCUCGUAAAAUUCUAUCAAUAGGGAAGAAAGAAAUGACGGUACCUAAAUAAGAAGCCCCG
rnacentral:rRNA from 1 species